AGAGUUCGAUCAUGGCUCAGAACGAACGCUGGCGCGCGUCUUAAGCAUGCAAGUCGAACGGCAAGAGGUAGCAAUACCUCCUAGAGUGGCGGGACUGGUGAGUAACACGUGGGUGACAUACCCUUCAGAUGGGGAUAGCUAUUAGAAAUAGUAGAUAAUACCGAAUACGAGCACAGGGGUUAGAGAUCUGUGAGGAAAGGAGCUAAGGCUCCGCUGAAGGAAUGGCCUGCGGCCCAUUAGCUAGUUGGUGAGGUAAGAGCCCACCAAGGCGAUGAUGGGUAUCCGGCCUUAGAGGGUGAACGGACACCUUGGGACUGAGAUACGGCCCAGACUCCUACGGGAGGCAGCAGCUAAGAAUAUUCCGCAAUAGACGAAAGUCUGACGGAGCGACGCCGCGUUGGAUGAAGAAGGCCGGAAGGUUGUAAAAUCCUUUUGAAACUGAAGAAUAAGCGUUGUAGGGAAUGACAGCGUGGUGACAGUAGGUUUUGAAUAAGCAACGGCUAAUUACGUGCCAGCAGCCGC
rnacentral:rRNA from 1 species